AGCGAACGCUGGCGGCAGGCCUAAUACAUGCAAGUCGAACGGCUCUUCGGAGCAGUGGCGGACGGGUGAGUAACGCGUGGGAACGUGCCCUUUGGUUCGGAACAACACAGGGAAACUUGUGCUAAUACCGGAUGAGCCCUUUGGGGGAAAGAUUUAUCGCCAUUGGAGCGGCCCGCGUUGGAUUAGCUAGUUGGUGGGGUAAUGGCCCACCAAGGCGACGCUCCAUAGCUGGUCUGAGAGGAUGAUCAGCCACACGGGGACUGAGACACGGCCCAGACUCCUACGGGAGGCAGCAGUAGGGAAUCUUGCGCAAUGGGCGAAAGCCUGACGCAGCCAUGCCGCGUGAAUGAUGAAGGUCUUAGGAUUGUAGAAUUCUUUCACCGGGGAAGAUAAUGACGGUACCCGGAGAAGAAGCCCCGGCUAACUUCGUGCCAGCAGCCGCCGUAAAAC
rnacentral:rRNA from 1 species